rnacentral:lncRNA from 1 species
UUAUUUUUAUGCCCCACCUAUGAUAGUAGAGGGGCAUUAUGUUUUCUGGUCUGUGCCUCCGUUCAUCCGUCCGGUUAAAGUUUUUGGUCGAGGUAGUUUUUGAUGAAGCUGAAGUCCAAUCAACUUGAAACUUAAUACACAUGUUCCCCAUGAUAUGAUCUUUCUAAUUUUAUUGCCAAAUUAUAGUUUUGACCCCAAUUUCAUGGUCCACUGAACAUAGAAAAUGAUAGUGCAAAGUUCAGGUUAAAGUUUUUGGUCAAGGUAGUUUUUGAUGAAGUUAAAGUUACAUGUUCCCUAUGAUAUGAUCUUUCUAAUUUUAAUUCCAAAUUAAAGUUUUGACCCCAAUUUCACAGUCCACUGAACAUAGAAAAUGAUAGUGGGAGUGGGGC